rnacentral:rRNA from 1 species
UACAGAGGUCCCAAGCGUUGUUCGGAUUCACUGGGCGUAAAGGGCGCGUAGGCGGCUUUAUAAGUCGGGGGUGAAAGCCUGUGGCUCAACCACAGAAUUGCCUUCGAUACUGUAGAGCUUGAGACCGGAAGAGGUAAGUGGAACUGCGAGUGUAGAGGUGAAAUUCGUAGAUAUUCGCAAGAACACCAGUGGCGAAGGCGGCUUACUGGUCCGGUUCUGACGCUGAGGCGCGAAAGCGUGGGGAGCAAACAGG